rnacentral:lncRNA from 1 species
UUUGUUUGUUUGCCACAACUGUGGCAUGCAGAAGCUCCUGGGCGCAGCUAUGGCAACACCUGGAUUCUUAACCUGCUGAGCCAUGAGGGAACUUCCUCUUUUUUUCUUUUUCAAAAUAACUAUAGACAAAUUGUUCGAAACAUAUAAUGUAGGUCUACUAAGUGUUUAAGGCUAUAGGAAAUGGGAAAACAGAAAGUUGGGGCUUCUAGAUAAAAUUUCUAAAAGGACAACGUAAGGCAUCAAUGCAUUAUAAAUGCAUUGUAUAUAAGAAUGUUGUUCUAAUAUCUGAAAACACAUUGGUUAGGCUAAAAUGUUCUUACUAACUGGGGAGUAAAGUUCUACUUUACUCUUUGCUGUACUUUUCACUUAAGAAAAAAUAACAUAAAAAGAAAGGUCAUCCACUCAAGGAAAUCUUAUGUUAAUUCAACAUCUGCAAAACACAUGGUUAGGCUGUAUAGACUAUCCAAAAAAUACAUAGUGCAAAUAAACAGUCAUUAAUUCCAUAGCUAUAAACAUCAACAGAGUAAUAUGAACCCCAAAGAAAGAAUAGUUUGUCCUUGGGUGGGAGUUAGAAGAGAUUGGACUCGGAAUACGUUCACUUUUCAAUAAUUAUUGGCAAUCUACUGUAUGCCUAGCCCAGUGUUGGAUGAUACCAAAAAGUACCAAUGUUGGCUUCAAAAUCAGGGUACUAACAGAUUAAGUUCUCAUUUCUUAUACUUACCUGAAAUAAAAUAUUUAAGAACCAGUCUACACCACACAAUGAACAAAUAUAUGUCAAUAGCUUCUAGCAACAAUACAAAGAGAUAAAGUAGAAUUAUUAUUCUGGUACAUUUAAUGCUAUUGAUAUAAAUACUCUUGGACAAGUGGUUUGUUUUCACUGAGCUCAGAUUCUCAUCCACAAUAUGAAGUUGUUUCAUUCCAUAGGCUGUCUGUAUCAUAAACAUCUGAUCCAAAUAUUAAGAAUGUUUAUUUCUAGCCCUGUCUCAGACCUGAAAAUAAAAAAGAACAUCUGGCUUUGGGGCCUGGAAAUAUGCAAUCCAGGAGAUUGUUAUGCACGUGGAAGUCUGAGACUACUCCAAUAGAUUUUCUUGAAAUUAACUUCUGAUUCUAUUCUGCUAUAGUUACAUGAGUUACAUAGUUUACCUUAAAAGUUACCUAUAGUUCCAUAGUUUACUUUAAAAAUUAAAGAGAACUUUUAAGGUAAAUUUAACUAAAAUCAACACAUAAAAUUAAAAAGUCGGCGAUUAUAAUUAAUCAUCAAGUUUAUCAUGCUAGAAUAAACACCUAUUUUUGAAGCCAUCCCCCAAAUAUUGUGGACAAAUGUGAUUUCUAUGGCCACAUUAAUAAACUUUAGUUCAUACUUUCCAAAAACAUUAAUAGUUUGAAGAUAAAGUUCCAUGGACAAGUAAACUUGGGAAACUUGGAUAUAAAUAUCCAACUUAUAAUUUAGUUUACAUAACUUUAUAUAAAUUAUAUAAUUUAUAUAACAAUGUAACUUACUUUAAGAGUGCUUUUCAGAGAUAAUAAUAGAGAAAAUGCUGUCUUUUUUCCCCUUCCUAUAACCAUUCGUUUCCUACUAGGAAUAAGCAACUUCUGGGGAACCUUAUACAAAGCAUCAAUCUUGAAGAGUCUUAGGACUCUUAAUAAGUUAAUGGCAUAUUUUUACUCUAGAAACCUGAACUAACUGUGAGGCUAAUGCAAUUUAAGACAAAUUCUUUCUAGUUUAACAGAUUAUAGAGUCCAAGCUCUGAGAUUUCAACCUGCAUUUACAAAGUUCCAUGGCUUUUCAAACUCAAAAUGAUUAAAACUUAAUUGACUCUUUUCCCUUUUGACACAUUUAUCUUCAUUAAUGACAGUGAGCAUGACUUAAAACCUGAGAAUUUUGAGUCCACAUCCAUUCAUUUAAAAACACUUACUGAGAGCCUAGAUUAUGCUAGGAAUAGAAAGACAAACAAAAUAGAGACAGUUUUUUGUUUUGGGUUUUUUUUGGGGGGGUGCUAACCAAUUACUAUAAACAUGAUAAGUGAUUAUAAGUAUUAUAAUAAAAAUGCUAAAGCAACAACAACAAAAAAGUAAGGACAUCUCCUCACACCUGUAAAGAUGUUGGGCACUGAUUGAGAUGCUGGAGACACAAACCUGAGAAAGAUACAAUUUCUUUCUUCAAUAACAAUGAAACCUCUCAUGAUAUAAGAAAAAGAAAAAUGCCUAAAUAAAUAGUUACUAACACUGUGAAAAGAAGGGGAUGAAGUUUGCUUUGGGCGCCAAUGAAAUCUUCACAGAAGUAAAAAUUUGGUUGAUUAUAUACUUUUUUGCUAUAUACUUUUUUAAUCUUUUUUUUUCUGGCCACCCCCGUGGCAUGUGGAAGUUCCUGGGCAUGAGAUCCAACCCAUGCCACAGCAGUGACUCAAGCAGCUGCAGUGACAAUGCCAGAUCCUUAACCACUGCACCACAAGAGAACUCUUGCGAUACAAUUUUUUAAUGUUCAAAUUAAACUAAAAGAAGUGGCUGUACAAAGGCACCAGGACAAGAAACAGCUCCUUCUGUUAAUAGUUCUACUACUCCAUGUGGUCAAAAUAAGUAAUAGCUCUAUAUGAUCAAAGCAAGGAUGCAGAAGGGAAUGGCAAGAGAUGUUAAAUGGUGUUACAGGCUUUCUUCUUAGUUGCAAAGAACAGGACCACUCAAGACAUCUCAAGGAAAGGGAAGUCAGUGCAAGAAUAAACGUGAAUUAGAACUGGAAAAACAAAUUCAGGCAGCCCUAAGAACCAGUCC